rnacentral:rRNA from 1 species
UACGUAGGGUGCGAGCGUUGUCCGGAAUUAUUGGGCGUAAAGGGCUCGUAGGCGGUUUGUCGCGUCGGGAGUGAAAACACCGGGCUUAACUCGGUGCUUGCUUUCGAUACGGGCAGACUAGAGGCAUGCAGGGGAGAACGGAAUUCCUGGUGUAGCGGUGAAAUGCGCAGAUAUCAGGAGGAACACCGGUGGCGAAGGCGGUCUCUGGGCCGAUACUGACGCUGAGGAGCGAAA